UACAGAGACUGCAAGCGUUAUUCGGAUUCACUGGGCGUAAAGGGUGCGCAGGCGGUCGGGUGUGUCAGAUGUGAAAUCCCGAGGCUCAACCUCGGAACUGCGUCUGAAACUACUCGACUAGAGUACUGGAGAGGGUAACGGAAUUCACGGUGUAGCAGUGAAAUGCGUAGAUAUCGUGAGGAACACCAGAGGCGAAGGCGGUUACCUGGACAGUUACUGACGCUCAGGCACGAAGGCAUGGGGAGCAAAAGGG
rnacentral:rRNA from 1 species